UGAGGAAUAUUGCACAAUGGGGGAAACCCUGAUGCAGCGACGCCGCGUGGAGGAAGAAGGUCUUCGGAUUGUAAACUCCUGUUGUUGAGGAAGAUAAUGACGGUACUCAACAAGGAAGUGACUGCUAACUACGUGCCAGCAGCCGCGGUAAAACGUAGGUCACAGGCGUUGUCCGGAAUUACUGGGUGUAAAGGGAGCGCAGGCGGGAAGACAAGUUGGAAGUGAAAUCUAUGGGCUCAACCCAUAAACUGCUUUCAAAACUGUUUUUCUUGAGUAGUGCAGAGGUAGGCGGAAUUCCCGGUGUAGCGGUGGAAUGCGUAGAUAUCGGGAGGAACACCAGUGGCGAAGGCGGCCUACUGGGCACCAACUGACGCUGAGGCUCGAAAGUGUGGGUAGCAAACA
rnacentral:rRNA from 1 species